ACGAUACUCUUAUUAUUGAUACAUUUGAUUUUUAUUUCGAUACGUUGUACACGAGAAAUAGAAUUUUUAUCUGCAAUAAUGGUGUAUAACAUAGCUGAAUGUGUGGAAAUGAUUUUUAUUUAUAGCAGAGAUCACUGUUUGUUAAGAACAACUGAAGUAUUUAUCCAGAAGCACCCGGAGAGAAAUUAUCCCUUAUCAACAGUGGUGGAGACAAUAGUAACCCAGCAGUAACUACCCGCCAACCCUCUCAAUCUUAAGCACAACAAUAUUUUGGGUCUUUAUGCUACUUAUAUUUGCACCUAAUUUUUAUGAAGUAUCUUUUGCAUCAUUCUAUAAUAAUUUUGCAAUCAUUUCAUUAUAUUGUUCAAGAUGAGAUGUGACAUAUAGAUACAUUGAAUUUUUUGUUACUUAAAUUUUGCCAAAAUGAACAUUUAUAUAUAAAAAUAAAUCAUCAAUACAG